AUGAUGGAGGAAGAUGAGGAGACGAUGAAGCACAAAGUUCUUGUGGAGAAACCUCUGCACCCACAAGAUGACAUGGUCAGUGUGGGGUUUUCUCCUCAAAUCAUCAUGCGCACAGCAGUGGCCCGAGUGUCCGAUAGAGUUCUCCCAGAGGCCAGGAUUGAGCCUGCUCUGACAAAUGCCACAUGCUGCCCAAAAAGAGUAAUUAAAAACAAACUAAUCAACCCAUUACUCAGGAAGCCCAACCCAUUCUCUCUUUUUUCUUAUUAUACAUGUCAUUCUUUCACACCACACAAUUUUAUAAAAGCUGUAAUUGAUUUGCAUAAAUGCAGAGAGAGAACAGAGAGGGCUGUGAACAGGAAGAGGCCUGCAAUUGUGACUGCUCGAGCAUACAAACCAUGGUUUCAGUGGUGGAGGUGUCAACUAUCAAUGGAUGAUUAUCUUGAUUACAUUUCCAAUCAGGACUCUGAUUAUCUGUCAGUGCUGUUUCACUUGUAUGACAGUGAUGAUGAUGAAGAGGCAGAGAGACACAAGCUGGCUCAGCUGCAGCGAGAUGAGAGGAGCAGAAGGCAACAGGAAAGGAUCAGUUCACUUAGGAGACAGAAACAAGAAUUUGUUCCUGGAUUCUGGAGAUGGGAGGAUUGGGAAAGGAACCAGAACUGGAUGAGAAAAAUCCAGAAGAGGAUAUACAAGAUACAGCAAUUGCUGCAUGGGAGGAGGUUGCUCGCUUGAUCCAGAAGAGAGAGAGCUCUUGCUGUACAAGUUGGAGGACUUUGAGAGGGAGGCAUCUGACCCCAACAGAUUUUUCCAGCGAGGUAGAUCAGAUGCACAGCAUAAUGAAUUCUGACCCUUGAAAUAUGCAUGUACAGAUUUAGAGAUAAUCUUUUGAAUCAAUUACAUUUAUUUUUUCAUACAUUUAUUUAUUUAUUUGUGAAAAUGAGCAUUUUGUUUUAGUGUGUAUAAUACACACACACGGCAUUCUAAAAUAUUAAAAACUAAAAAUAACUAUGUGAAGUAAUCAUUUCCAAAAAUAAUUGCAUAUUAAAUACAUAUUGUACUACACACUGGAUAUAUUAUUAUAUUAUUAGUUUUUAUUAAUAUUUUGAAGGUUUUUAUUUUUAUAUUUUCAGUUUACAUUUUAAUUUUACUUAGUUUUAGUAAUUUUGUUGUGUUUUGUCAUUUUUAUUAUUAUAAACUUUAAUAAAAUGUUGUUGUUUUACA
ensembl:lncRNA